ACCGAUUCUUCUGCCUCAGCCUUUCCGCGUGUUGGGAUGAUGGGCAUAUGCCAAGGCGUCCGACUUGAGGAAACGGUUGGGGUCCCAGCGCACAGGGACCGUGCCCAGGGUGCGCUGGUGGAAGAGAGGCCCAGCCCGGGAGGGGCGGGGGAGGGGCCGCGCCGGGAUCCAGAUGUUCAGGUCCGCCAGGCACAGCCGCGCCUGAUUAAGCCACGUGGGGGCCGGCCCCGGCCGCUGAGAUGAAAGCAAACGGCCGGCGGGGACCCGGGCGCGCCAGCCCCUCCUCCCGACCGGAACCUGCGGCUCCCUGUGACCCGACGACCCUGCGAGCGGCCUCCUCGUCUACUGGGGCGGAGCGACUGGACGCGCAGGCCGCAAGGCACCUGUGCCAAGCAGGCCACUGGGGCUCAGAGCCCGCGCCCUGGCGCCCGGACGGAGGAAACCGUGGAGACCUCCGAAUCCAGGACGGAAGCCACUGUGUCCCUAUUUGCUUCAAGUUUUCCCACCAGAUGGGAAAAGUGAGCGGCUCAGAGGCCUUGUUAGAGUGCUGGGGGCCUCCGAGUCCCAGGGAGACAAUGGGUUCCCUCAGAUCCAAGUCCGGUCAAAGAGCCGGACCAUGAGUAUCAA
rnacentral:lncRNA from 1 species